GAUGGCCGUGUAGUGGACUGCCAUGGCGUUGCGGGAGCGGGGGAUUAAGGGUUCGAUUCCGGAGAGGGAGCCUGAGAAAUGGCUACCACUUCUACGGAGGGCAGCAGGCGCCCCAAUUGCCAAUGCCAAAACAAAUGAUGAGGCAGCGAAAAGAAAAUAGGUGCCCCAAACGCCUUGUGCGUUUGGGGCUUUCAAUGGGGGAUAUUUAAAACCAUCCAACAUCGAGUAACAAUUGGAGGACAAGUCUGGUGCCAGCACCCGCGGUAAUUCCAGCUCCAAGAGCAUAUAUUAACGCUGUUGCUGUUAAAGGGUUCGUAGUUGAAUUGUGGGAUGUGUUGCUGGGGUCCCCGUCCUUUUCCCACGGUCUAGGAAAGCCCCAAACACAUCUCGAGAACGUCAGAAACUAAGAUCAUGGAAGUGUUCCCGUCACCUUCGCGAGCAAUGCACGCAGGCGGGCGGUCCGUGUUUUUUACUGUGACUAAAGAAGUGCGACCAAAGCAGUCCAUCGACAUGAAUUAGAAAGCAUGGGAUAACAAAGGAGCAGCUUACGGGCUACCGUUUAGGCUUUUGUUGGUUUUAAAAGUUCGUGGGAGAUUACGGGCGAGUAGGACCGGCGUUGUGUGGCGCAUGCCUUCCGCGUUUCCUCCCUGUAUCGGUCCGCCGGUGCUUUGGAGGCCUAUUCGACUCAGGAAUGAAGGAGGGUUGCUCGGGGGAGAACGUACUUGGUCGUGAGAGGUGAAAUUCUUAGAAAGGGCCAAAGACGAACUACAGCGAAGGCAUUCUCCAAGGAUACCUUCCUCAAUCA
rnacentral:rRNA from 1 species